rnacentral:rRNA from 1 species
UGCCUAACACAUGCAAGUCGAACGGACAAUUUUUUUGUAGCAAUACAAAGGAAAAGUUAGUGGCAAACGGGUGAGUAAUACAUAGGUGAUCUUCCUUUAAGAGGAAAAUAACUUGCCGAAAGGUGAGCUAAUGUUCCAUAAGACCACGGCCAUUAGGGCUGAGGUAAAAGUUCCGCAAGGGACGCUUAGAGAUGAGCCUGUGGCCUAUCAGCUAGUUGGUGAGGUAACGGCUCACCAAGGCUAAGACGGGUAUCCGGCCUGAAAGGGCGAUCGGACACACUGGAACUGAGACACGGUCCAGACUCCUACGGGAGGCAGCAGUGGGGAAUUUUGGACAAUGGGGGCAACCCUGAUCCAGCAACGCCGCGUGAAGGAUGAAGGUCUUCGGAUCGUAAACUUC